GAGAUUGUGGCUCAGCAGUACAGCGCUCGUCUGGCACAUGCGAGGCCCUGGGUUCAAUCCUCAGCAUCACA
rnacentral:tRNA from 1 species